GGGGGUCCUCGAGUGCUGUCCCGUCCUUUCCUCCUCCAGGAUGCGGUCUGUCACAGCCAUCACCCUGCUCCUGGCUGUCCUCCAAGAUGUCCAUGCCCAGGUGCAGCUGGAGCAGCCUGUGGCAGAGCUGAAAAGGCCCGGGGAGGCUCUGAGGAUCUCCUGUAAGACUUCAGGGUACAGUUUUACCAGCUACUGGAUCGGCUAGGUGCGCCAGAUGCCUGGGAAAGGCCUGGAGUGGAUGGGGGCCAUCUAUCCUGGUGACUCAGAUACCAGAUACAGCCCGUCCUUCCAAGGCCACAUCACCAUCUCUGCAGACAAGUCCACCAGCACUGCUUACCUGCAGUGGAGCAGCCUGAAGUCCACGGACUCGGCCGUGUAUUACUGUGCAAAGGACAUAGUGCCCAUCAUGGAAGCCUUUGCCAUCACUCCAGACUCCAGACCAGUUGGUUGGGGAUCCAUUCGUGAGUUCUGA